GCGCGAUGAUCAAUAAAACGGCUAAGAAUAGGUUACGAGAUGCGCAACAAGGAAAUUGAUAAACGCUUUCCAGAAUUUGGAAGCCGAUCAGUAAACGAGAAAAGGGGAGUGAGCAAGUUAUAUGUUUUUUUGUUCAAGUAUCUGGGGACUAACAAGAUGAGUAAUAGCAACACGCUGACGUCUACAAUGGCAAAGGUCAUCGACUUGAACGUUUAGAAUGUACGUCAGAAGUUCGCGAAAUACCGUUGCCCGUGGCAACCAAUGUGCGUAGGUGUUUGAAAAGGGAUCGAUGCUCAUAGCAACCGUAGUGUGUGCCUCACUUUAUUUCGAACUCUUGGUCUAUGUGAUUUAUUGGAUUAACAUACAUAUAUUGGAUUUAUUUAUUAUUUAAUUCUAAAAGGUCGGUCUUUCGAGGCACUGGUGAAAACGAAAACUAUUUUUCACUCGAUGGCUCUUGAAGGAGUUGGAAUCGCUUAUGCAAGCUAACAAAGGAGCUAGAUUUGACCGAUUUUCUUGUCGGUGGAGGACAGAACAACGCUUCCAUUCUUCAGAACAAAGUUAAGACUUCAUGUUUGCAGGUGGAGUGUAUAUAAUUUCAGAACUAUCUUAAACUGCGCAUCCUGGCGCUUUGCUUAUAUUAAAAUGCUCCACGUAAAUACACGUACAUGUACGACACUAUUUUCAAUAUGGAAGUGAUUUUUAUGUGAAUUAAUAAAAAACAACAGCCGAA